GGACCCCUACUCUUCUCACUCUUUCUACUACUCUCUCGAUCGAGUGAGUAGUUCUACUUCACUGUUCAUCAUUUUUCAGAUCUCUUCAGUUUUCUCUCCGGUUUAGAAGAAAAAAUGAGAGAAAUCCUUCACAUCCAAGGUGGACAAUGUGGAAACCAGAUUGGAUCAAAGUUCUGGGAAGUUGUAUGUGAUGAACAUGGAAUCGAUCCUACUGGACGCUAUGUUGGAACAUCAGAUCUGCAAUUGGAACGUGUCAAUGUGUAUUACAAUGAAGCUUCAUGUGGGAGGUUUGUUCCCCGUGCAGUGCUCAUGGAUCUCGAGCCUGGUACGAUGGACAGUGUGAGAACUGGUCCUUAUGGCCAGAUAUUUAGGCCUGAUAACUUUGUUUUUGGCCAGUCUGGUGCUGGAAACAAUUGGGCUAAGGGUCAUUACACUGAGGGUGCAGAGCUUAUUGAUUCUGUUCUUGAUGUUGUCAGGAAGGAGGCUGAGAAUUGUGACUGUUUACAAGGUUUCCAGGUUGCUCACUCUCUAGGAGGUGGAACUGGAUCAGGAAUGGGAACACUCCUUAUAUCUAAGAUCAGGGAGGAGUACCCAGAUAGAAUGAUGCUUACUUUCUCUGUAUUCCCUUCCCCCAAAGUUUCAGACACAGUUGUUGAGCCCUAUAAUGCUACUCUUUCUGUUCACCAGCUUGUUGAGAAUGCAGAUGAGUGUAUGGUUUUGGAUAAUGAAGCUCUUUAUGACAUUUGCUUCCGAACUCUCAAACUUACUACUCCGAGCUUUGGGGACCUAAACCAUUUGAUUUCUGCCACCAUGAGUGGUGUAACUUGCUGUCUCCGUUUCCCUGGUCAACUCAACUCUGAUCUCCGCAAGCUUGCUGUUAACCUCAUCCCAUUCCCUCGGUUGCAUUUCUUCAUGGUUGGAUUUGCUCCGCUCACUUCUCGUGGGUCGCAGCAAUAUCGAGCAUUGACUGUUCCUGAGCUAACACAGCAGAUGUGGGAUGCAAA
rnacentral:misc_RNA from 1 species